AUGGGCGGUCUUCCCUGAGGACGGAGUGGAGGCGCCAUGGCGGUUGCGGGCCAACGUGUGGGGCUGGCUGGUCUGCGGGAGGAAGACGUUCCCCGCCCGCGCCCCGGCCGGUGCAAAGGGGCUGUGCCCUCUCCUCGAGGUUCCGCGUCUUCCUUUCCGGCCGCCCCGCGCGGUGUAUCCCCACCUUCUCAGGAAUAAAAUUAUUUGGAGCGUAUUGUCAGCUAUGGAUCGGCACUUGCUGUCUACCUCGACAAGGAUUAAAUCAGGUGCUGGUGCAGCUGCUGCAGCCGCUGACCUUCAACACCCCCUGAACGGAGUUCAGGGUGGAGAGCGGAAAUGACGUGCUCUGUGCUCGGGGGAAUCUGGCAGGACAGCUCUUCAGAGAGUUAGAUACUUUCAGGAGCUGAUUUUAUGAGCCCAGUUCUUGUAUCUCCUCGUGUCUAGAGAAGCAUUGAAAUCCUUCAUGGUGACGUCAGUAGCCGGAGCCUGCAUGAGACGAGCAGAAACCUUCUGCAAAAAUUAUAUAUGCUCGAUUGCGUGUAUUCCCCCUUCACCAAAAUUACAUAUACACUGACCUUCCCCAUGCUUCUUUGGAACAGUUUCUUGGAGCUAUCUGAGAUUCUGUCUCCCAGGAUAUAGUCUUUAUUUUUCCCCCAAUAAAACUUAACUCACAACUUU